rnacentral:rRNA from 1 species
AGCCCAGACUCCUACGGGAGGCAGCAGUGAGGAAUAUUGGUCAAUGGGCGCGAGCCUGAACCAGCCAAGUCGCGUGAGGGAAGACGGUCCUAUGGAUUGUAAACCUCUUUUGUCGGGGAGCAAAAGACGCCACGCGUGGCGUUCCGAGAGUACCCGAAGAAAAAGCAUCGGCUAACUCCGUGCCAGCAGCCGCGGUAAUACGGAGGAUGCGAGCGUUAUCCGGAUUUAUUGGGUUUAAAGGGUGCGCAGGCGGAAUGUCAAGUCAGCGAUAAAAUUUCGGGGCUCAACCCCGUCGUGCCGUUGAAACUGGCGUUCUUGAGUGAGCGAGAAGUAUGCGGAAUGCGUGGUGUAGCGGUGAGAUGCAUAGAUAUCACGCAGAACUCCGAUUGCGAAGGCAGCAUACCGGCGCUCAACUGACGCUCAUGCACGAAAGCGUGGGUAUCGAACAGGAUUAGAUACCCGAGUA